UAGCUAGUUGGUGAGGUAAAGGCUUACCAAGGCGACGAUCUGUAGCGGGUCUGAGAGGAUGAUCCGCCACACUGGAACUGAGACACGGUCCAGACUCCUACGGGAGGCAGCAGUGGGGAAUUUUGGACAAUGGGGGCAACCCUGAUCCAGCCAUGCCGCGUGAGUGAAGAAGGCCUUCGGGUUGUAAAGCUCUUUCGGCCGGGAAGAAAUCGCAUGGGCCAAUACCCUGUGUGGUUGACGGUACCGGAAUAAGAAGCACCGGCUAACUACGUGCCAGCAGCCGCGGUAAUACGUAGGGAGCGAGCGUUAAUCGGAAUUACUGGGCGUAAAGCGUGCGCAGGCGGUUUUGUAAGACAGGCGUGAAAUCCCCGGGCUUAACCUGGGAACUGCGUUUGUGACUGCAAGGCUAGAGUACGGCAGAGGGGGGUGGAAUUCCACGUGUAGCAGUGAAAUGCGUAGAGAUGUGGAGGAACACCAAUGGCGAAGGCAGCCCCCUGGGUCGAUACUGACGCUCAUGCACGAAAGCGUGGGUAGCAAACAGGAUUAGAUACCCUGGUAGUCCACGCCCUAAACUAUGUCAACUAGGUGUUGGGUGGGUAAAACCAUUUAGUACCGUGGCUAACGCGUGAAGUUGACCGCCUGGGGAGUACGGCCGCAAGGUUAAAACUCAAAGGAAUUGACGGGGACCCGCACAAGCGGUGGAUGAUGUGGAUUAAUUCGAUGCAACGCGAAAAACCUUACCUACCCUUGACAUGCCAGGAACUUGCCAGAGAUGGCUUGGUGCCCGAAAGGGAGCCUGGACACAGGUGCUGCAUGGCUGUCGUCAGCUCGUGUCGUGAGAUGUUGGGUUAAGUCCCGCAACGAGCGCAACCCUUGUCGUUAAUUGCCAUCAUUUAGUUGGGCACUUUAACGAGACUGCCGGUGACAAACCGGAGGAAGGUGGGGAUGACGUCAAGUCCUCAUGGCCCUUAUGGGUAGGGCUUCACACGUCAUACAAUGGUCGGUACAAAGGGUUGCCAAGCCGCGAGGCGGAGCCAAUCCCAGAAAGCCGAUCGUAGUCCGGAUUGCAGGCUGCAACUCGCCUGCAUGAAGUCGGAAUCGCUAGUAAUCGUGGAUCAGCAUGUCACGGUGAAUACGUUCCCGGGUCUUGUACACACCGCCCGUCACACCAUGGGAGCGGGUUCCGCCAGAAGUAGGUAGCCUAACCGCAAGGGGGGCGCUUACCACGGCGGGGUUCGUGACUGGGGUGAAGUCGAAACAAGGUAGCCGUAGGGGAACCUGCGGCUG
rnacentral:rRNA from 1 species